CCAAUUGUGGAUACUCCAGGAGGUUACUCUCUCCUGGCUUUGUCCAAAUGGCACAGGGGAGCAGAAGGCUCUAGAGCCCCAUGGUGUACAGUCUCUUUCCACAGCACUGGAGAGGAUACUGGGUCUGCACCUGCAUAUUCCUACAGCUUCUCAGAGGACUUCAGACAAUGACUAGGGAGACAAAUCAUGCAGGAAAUAUAU
rnacentral:snoRNA from 1 species